rnacentral:rRNA from 1 species
CCCUUUGAUACUCUGGGCGGCACGCGCGCUACAAUGGAUGACAAAACGUGAAACACUACCGAAAGGUUCGUUAGUAAAUCACAAAUGUUAAGUCUCGAGUGGGAUAGUUUGUUGCAAUUAAAGACUUGAACUAGGAAUCCCUUGUAGGUACACUGAAGCAUAGUGUACCGAAUACGUCCCUGCCGUUUGUACACACCGCCCGUCGUUUCUUCCGACUGAUAUUCAUUGUGAAUUACGGGGAUAGAUUUGUCUAAAACUGUUGUGAAUACUGGGUAUUGGAGGAAGAAAAAGUCGUAACA